UUUCUGUGGCCUCUAUAGUUCGGCUCAACACCUAUAUUCCAUCUAAGACAAAGGCACCACUUCAAUGACAGAUUACCAGCCUUUGGCUGGGAAAGAUGAGACUGCUGCUUGAAUGUAGACCUCUAGGCAGAGCUGAAUAUCCCUUAGAAAACUACUGGUGGGCUAAAAGGUGUGAACUGGAACAUGAAGAUUGAAAAUGAAACAGGCAUAUAUCCAGCUUAAGGACUGAGUCCAUCCAUCAAUCCUGGAAAACAGUAUUUAUAAUAAUCUCUUAAGUCAAUGCACUAGGACUCUUUAGCCCCUUUUAUACGUAGCUCUUUUCUAUUUUUUGUGGAGUAUAUGAGGUCACAUAGGGCAAUUGAGAGGCUAUGAAUACCUCCAAAGGGUCCAGCUCUUCUUACAGCAGGUGAUAUGCAGAAAUGGUGACAGGAAAACCAAAACUAAUAGUCCAUUACUCCUUUCUCUUUUAAUCACUUUUCUUGGCUUUUACUAGCUCCAGAGUUUGAAAUAGGUCUCUUUAAUCACACCUAUAAAAAGCUCUAGAAAUCUCAUCCAACAAUUUCCAAACACCUUGAGAUGUAAAACUUCUGUCUCCAUUUCUAGAGAAGACAAUUGAAGCCUAAGAAAACAUUAGAUCUUGGUAGGACAGAAUUUGAUACUGUCAAGCAUUUUAAGUAACAGGAUCAUGAGGUUAAAUAAAAUAUCAAAUAAAUUGUGACGGCUUGGGUCUUAUGGCAGCUACUUCACUGCCCUGGUAGCUAUGAGUUCAAACAUCUUAGUGCCGCCCUGCAAAAUCCACUGCCUGUUUUGCUCUUUGUUGCUCUUCCUUUCCCUUUUUGCAGGGAAAUAUAAACAGCAGGCAAAAACAAGUGGUGGGGUGGUCAGCCAAGGGACACAAUGAGCUGAUGGAUGAUACAACUUCCAAACUGUAAACAGCUUAUUUUAUUUCCUUUCGCAAGUCUUUCCCUAAACAUCAGACUUCAUUUUCUCAUUUAGAAUCUUGAAUCUGUAAAACUAGGUGACUUAAAAAGGCAUUUUAAUAGUAUUAAUUCUUUAUUAUUUAUGAGAAAGGGCAGCCAAGUUAGACAAAGCCAGCUAAGGCCACAAGAAAUUAUUGUUUCAAUUCUGUUAAAUAAAUUAUCAAUCGUUUUCUCUGUUAUUUUUUGUUUAUUUUAAUUUUAAAAUACAUUUUAGCCACUUUUUUAUGUAUGGGAGAUACAAAGGUACAUGUUAGGUAAGGAUUCUGCCACUGAGUUUUAUCCCUAGACCUUGGUUGUUUUCUUUUUUGUUUGAGAAAGGGUCAUAUUACAUAGUCUAGAUUGACUUUAGGCCUGAGGUUCUCCUACCUCUGUCUAUGAAAGCUUGUAUUCACACAUGUACUAUCAUACCUGGCUACAACCACAAUUUUUGAGCAUUUGUUAGGUAACACAUACUAAAUUAAUGGCUUUAUAUGCAUUAUCACAUAUCCUCACCCUGAUUUCUAGCACAUUUUUGUGGCUAUAAAAAACCUAGGUUUAAGGGACAUAAACUCAUUUAUUUAAGGUGUUCAGCUAGUUAAUGGUAGAGAUCGAAUUUAAGUAUAGUUUUAAGAAUCAAUAUCUAGGUACAUAACUAAGAUGAACAUGGCAUGAGAGAAGUUGGUAGGAGGAGGGAACACAGAUAUUGUCUCUGAGGCUUUUCACAUCAUGGAGGCAGAAUGAUGACAAAAUUUUCAUGUUUCACCUAAAUACAAGAGCUAAUUGAGGCAUGGGCACUAGAAUCUCCAGACAAACACUCAGGAUCCUUGUUUUAGUUUGGAGCUUUAGCCUGUUUUGUUCACUUCCCUCUUUUGGUGUCUUAGCCAGUUAUGUUAGUGUCUGCCAUUUGUCUCACGCUCAGGGUAAGACAUAAUUGCCCCAUUUUUUUCUCUUUUCAGGUGCACAUCUUCCAGCAUGUUCUUGCUGCCCAGUGGAGGCUCCUGAUCUGGCCUUCAGCAGUGUCACGCUCCGUGUAUUUGACAAGCUGAGUUGGACACUCUGUGUGGUAGAGUGUCAGUUUGUCAAAUACCCCAAGUGUGGCUCAUGCCUAUCAGCUCCAGGUCCAGGACAGAGCAAAUAGACUGCUGACUAUAUACAAAUGCUUAUGAAACAUGAAGCUCUCUGGCUUUGAGGGAACUACAACAUUUAUUCAGAGGACAUCAGAAUAAGAGCGAUGCAGCUUUGGGGGUCUACCAGUCUUGUAUGCAUCUCUGUACAUUGUGAAGAUGCACAGUGGUCUUGAAAAUACAUAAGAGAUACUGGUAAUGAGAGUAUUAUUUGAUUUAAUAUUAAUGUCUUCUUUCACAUUCCUCUUCUUGCAGCCAGGACAGGAGAAUUUUCAUACAAGCAUCAUGAAUUCCAUGAGAAAGUAGGAAAUAAAUAUUCACGGUCUGGCCUUUGGAGCACAUCUUAACCUCACCUACAUUUUCUCUUUUCCUCUUUGCUUUUAUCCUCCUUAAAACAACCUUCUUAUUUCUCUUCCCUGGACUUUCAGACCCUGCCACAUUCUAAUUUCUCUGGGCACUAUUGAAAGUUACCCUAUACUUUUCUUUACUCCUUGGCUAAAUACAUAUUGAUAUGUGCUCUUACAUGUCCUACCAUCCAAUAUAUCCUCUGACAUCAGUGAAUUUUUACCAUGGUAUGUUCUUGAAUUCCCUAUUAUAUUGUAAGAGUCUAGACCUUAUUAUACUUGCUUGAUUGCUGUCUCUCCUACCAUUGUCCAACAUUUUAAUUAUUUAAUAAAUGUUUACCAAUUAA